GACGAACGCUGGUGGCGUGCCUAACACGUGCAAGUCGAACGGAACUCGGGGACUUCGGUUCUGAGUUUAGUGGCGAACGGGUGAGUAACGCGUGAGGAACCUGCCUUUCAGUGGGGGACAACAGUUGGAAACGACUGCUAAUACCGCAUAAUGUAUCAGGGGGCAUCCCCUUGAUACCAAAGCUUUAUGUGCUGAAAGAUGGCCUCGCGUCUGAUUAGAUAGUUGGUGAGGUAACGGCUCACCAAGUCUGCGAUCAGUAGCCGGUCUGAGAGGAUGAACGGCCACAUUGGGACUGAGAUACGGCCCAGACUCCUACGGGAGGCAGCAGUGGGGAAUAUUGGGCAAUGGGGGAAACCCUGACCCAGCAACGCCGCGUGAAGGAAGAAGGCCUUCGGGUUGUAAACUUCUUUUAGCAGGGACGAAGAACGUGACGGUACCUGCAGAAAAAGCAACGGCUAACUACGUG
rnacentral:rRNA from 1 species